AUUGAACGCUGGCGGCAGGCCUAACACAUGCAAGUCGAGCGAGCGGCGGACGGGUGAGUAAUGUCUGGGAAACUGCCUGAUGGAGGGGGAUAACUACUGGAAACGGUAGCUAAUACCGCAUACAAUCAGAUGAGCCUAAGUCGGAUUAGCUGGGUGGUGGGGUAAAGGCCGACCAAGGCGACGAGCGGUAGCGGGUCUGAGAGGAUGAUCCGCCCAACUGUGACUGGGACACGGCCCAUAAUCCUACGGGAGGCAGCAGUGGGGAAUAUUGGGCCAGGGGGCGAACCCUGAGCCAGCCAUGCCGCGGGUGUGGAGAAGGCCUUAUGGUUGUAAAGCCCUUUAAGCGAGGAGGCGUUACUCGCAGAAUAAGCACCGGCUAACUCUGUGCCAGAAGCCGCGGUAAUUC
rnacentral:rRNA from 1 species